GUGGGGAAUAUUGCACAAUGGGCGCAAGCCUGAUGCAGCCAUGCCGCGUGUGUGAAGAAGGCCUUCGGGUUGUAAAGCACUUUCAGCGGGGAGGAAGGCGAUAAGGUUAAUAACCUUGUCGAUUGACGUUACCCGCAGAAGAAGCACCGGCUAACUCCGUGCCAGCAGCCGCGGUAAUACGGAGGGUGCAAGCGUUAAUCGGAAUUACUGGGCGUAAAGCGCACGCAGGCGGUCUGUCAAGUCGGAUGUGAAAUCCCCGGGCUCAACCUGGGAACUGCAUUCGAAACUGGCAGGCUAGAGUCUUGUAGAGGGGGGUAGAAUUCCAGGUGUAGCGGUGAAAUGCGUAGAGAUCUGGAGGAAUACCGGUGGCGAAGGCGGCCCCCUGGACAAAGACUGACGCUCAGGUGCGAAAGCGUGGGGAGCAA
rnacentral:rRNA from 1 species